AGUUGUAAGGGAAAUGCGCACACGUCAUGAAAUGCAGACGUCAUAGUUUUUUGUGCACAUUUUGCCGACAUUGACUUAAAAGGCUUCUAGCAGGAUCUUCAUAGGGUUUCGUUAAUAACAUCAUUAAAUAGGUGAAUAUUAGGAAAGAAUAACUGGAUCUAGGUGUUGUUCUAAAAACGUUUCUUUGCAGGUUAGUCAGUAUAACUAGAUUAGAGUUAGAGCUCUAAAUCUAGUUUACUUUUUAAAAACUUUCUAGAUCUGAAAUUGCUGUUAGUAGAUCUAGUGUUAGCCUACAGGCUAGAUCUAGAAUCUAGUAGUAGUAGAUUAGAUAUCAUAAUAUCUAGAUCUAGUCUAGACGUAUUCUAGUUUCUAGAUCUACUCGGUUAACUGUGUAAAUAAUGUCAGAAUUAACUGCCCCUGAGAACACGUACAUUGUUCAAGACGAACAGCUUGAAUGCCAAAAUGAAAGUUCCAAUAAUGACAAUGAAGCUGUAAAAAAAAGAAAAGAAAAAGAAGAAAGAUGUAGAGAAAAAGAAGAAAAGAAAAAGGGAGACCAGAGAGCGAAAGAAGAUAAAGAAAGACAAGAAAGAUGUAGGGAAAAAGAAGAAAAGAAAAAGGAAGACCAGAGAGCGAAAGAAGAUAAAGAAAGACAAGAAAGAUGUAGGGAAAAAGAAGAAAAGAAAAAGGAAGACCAGAGAGCGAAAGAAGAUAAAGAAAGACAAGAAAGAUGUAGGGAAAAAGAAGAAAAGAAAAAGGAAGAACAGCGAGCAAAAGAAGAGAAAGAAAGACAAGAAAGAUGUAGGGAAAAAGAAGAAAAGAAAAAGGAAGAACAGCGAGCAAAAGAAGAGAAAGAAAGACAAGAAAGAUGUAGGGAAAAAGAAGAAAAGAAAAAGGAAGAACAACGCGCAAAAGAAGAGAAAGAAAGACAAGAAAGUAAUAGAGAAAAAGAAGAAGAAAAGAAAAAAGAAGAGAAAAGAGAGAAAGAUGAGAAAUGUAUGAGCGAAAAACAGAAAAAAGAAAAAAGAGAUGCUGAAAAAAAGAAAAGUAGAGAAGAUAGAAAAUCGGCCAAAGAUUCUCCGAAGCAAAGCAGAGCAGCAAAGCAGCAAGACGAGUGUGAAGAAAAGCCAAUAAAGAAGGAUGAAUGCGAAGAGCAGCCUCCUGCUGAUGACAAAUGCGAAGAGCUGCCUCCUGCUGAUGACGAAUGUGAAGAAUAUCCUCCAGGAGACGCCAAGGAGUCGAAAUCUUACGAUGAAGACGAAUGUGCAGACUUGAGACCCAGUGUAGAUGAUGAGUGUGAAGAGUCUGCAGGUUCUGAAGCGCCAAUAAAGGAAGGUGAAGAGUCCCCGGAAGUAUUAGACGAAGAGUGUGAAGAGAAACCUAAAGAUGAAUCUGCAGAAGAGAAAGCUCCAAAUGAUGAUGAGUGUGAAGAAAAGCCUCCUGCUGAGGGAGAAAAGCCUCAGGAUGACGAGUGUGAAGAAAUCAAAGACGAGUGCGAUGAAGUUUUUGCGGAUGAUGAAUGUGCAGAUUUUUCGAAUGUGGAAGAUGAAUGUGGAGAGAAACCACAAAGGCGUCCAUGUCCUGAACCUUUAAGACCUGUGUGCAAAUAGUCCCAAUAUGAAUCCGAACCACUCAAAAAUAAUUCUAAACCACAGCCCCAACCACAGCAGUCACAAUCAAGAGAAAAAGAUAAACCAAGACGAAGGUAGAUUUGUGCGUAGGAUCAAAAAAGAAAAAGGGUGCCGAGCAACCAGCAUCACCGAAAGCAGAGGAGCCUGAAAACCCGCCUGCCGAAGCCGGAGAAGACGCAAAGGGAAACGAGGAAGGUGGUGAGAAUCCAGAUGCCGAGGCCUCAAAAGAUGAAUGACAGUACUAACAGAUGGAAGUUUCUCUUGUAAACUGCUGUGAUUGGAACAUGUGUGUUUGGAAACAGAUUAGAGCAGGAUUCUUUUCAAGUCUUCUGAAGCAAGGUUAUCUCUUAGGGGAGCAGGAAAAACAUGGCUAGGAAAUGAAUACAUCAACGAACCCUGUGAAAUGACCAUCUCAUGGAAAGAAACAAAAAAUGCGAAUAAAAAAAAGAAUGUGAAACUAUAAA